ensembl:lncRNA
GUUCAGGCUUUGUCAUGGCGUAAUGAGGUGAAUACCUCAAGGCUAAUUUGUUGUUUUUAUAGUCUUACAGCAGCGCUGGUGGCGCGUGCAUUGAGGCAAAUUGGCGCUGAAGAUCGCGUAAAGUGAUCGCUACAUUUAGCCGGUGGCUGAAUGAUGUGUGUGUCGAGCCGCGUUACCUGAGCUAGUGAGUCUUGGUGGGACAGGGGUGGCUAGCUGCAUUUAUUCAGGAGUGUGCUUCACAGCAUGCUCAGUGUGCCAACACAACAACUUCCUUAUGGUGAAAUACAAUAAAGAAUUGCCAUCCCAGUCCCCUGAAUUGAAACCCAUAGAAAACCUGUGGGGUGAACUGAAGAGGAGGGUCCACUAGAGUCGACCUCGAAAUAUGAAGGAUCUGGAGAGAUUCUGGAGGAACAGUCUCGGAUCCCUUGCCAUGUAUUGUCCAACCUCAUCAGGCAAUAUAGGAGAAGACUCAGAGCUAUUAUCUUGGCAAAGGAAGGUAUCCAACAACAAUCUGGUUGUGCCACCUUUAGCAGUAAUAACUGCAACCAAACGCUUCCGAUAACUGGAG